UGGGGAAUAUUGCACAAUGGGCGCAAGCCUGAUGCAGCGACGCCGCGUGGGGGAUGACGGCCUUCGGGUUGUAAACUCCUUUCGCUAGGGACGAAGCUUUUUGUGACGGUACCUAGAUAAGAAGCACCGGCUAACUACGUGCCAGCAGCCGCGGUAAUACGUAGGGUGCGAGCGUUGUCCGGAAUUACUGGGCGAAAAGGGCUCGUAGGUGGUUUGUCGCGUCGUCUGUGAAAUUCCGGGGCUUAACUCCGGGCGUGCAGGCGAUACGGGAAUAACUUGAGUACUGUAGGGGUAACUGGAAUUCCUGGUGUAGCGGUGAAAUGCGCAGAUAUCAGGAGGAACACCGAUGGCGAAGGCAGGUUACUGGGCAGUUACUGACGCUGAGGAGCGAAAGCAUGGGUAGCGAACAGG
rnacentral:rRNA from 1 species